AUCCAGCUGACGAGUCCUAAAUAGGACGAAACUUGAGUCCUAAAU
rnacentral:hammerhead_ribozyme from 1 species